CAAGUCGUGGGGCAGCAUGACUGUAGCAAUACAGUUGAUGGCGACCGGCAAACGGGUGCGGAACACGUACACAACCUUCCUUUUAGUGGAGAAUAGCCCAGGGAAACUUGGAUUAAUACUCCGUAACAUAUAGAAGUGGCAUCACUUUUAUAUUAUAGCAGCAAUGCGCUAGAAGAUGGGUGUGCGGCUGAUUAGAUAGUUGGCGGGGUAACGGCCCACCAAGUCGACGAUCAGUAACUGGUGUGAGAGCACGACCAGUCACACGGGCACUGAGACACGGGCCCGACUCCUACGGGAGGCAGCAGUAAGGAAUAUUGGUCAAUGGACGCAAGUCUGAACCAGCCAUGCCGCGUGGAGGAUGAAGGUCCUCUGGAUUGUAAACUUCUUUUAUCUGGGAAGAAAUCCACUUUUUCUAAGGUGGUUGACGGUACCAGAUGAAUAAGCACCGGCUAACUCCGUGCCAGCAGCCGCGGUAAUACGGAGGGUGCAAGCGUUAUCCGGAUUCACUGGGUUUAAAGGGUGCGUAGGUGGGCAAGUAAGUCAGUGGUGAAAUCUCCGGGCUUAACCCGGAAACUGCCAUUGAUACUAUUUGUCUUGAAUACUGUGGAGGUCAGCGGAAUAUGUCAUGUAGCGGUGAAAUGCUUAGAUAUGACAUAGAACACCAAUUGCGAAGGCAGCUGGCUACACAAAUAUUGACACUGAGGCACGAAAGCGUGGGGAUCAAACAGGAUUAGAUACCCUGGUAGUCCACGCCCUAAACUAUGGAUACUCGACAUACGCGAUAAACUGUGUGUGUCUGAGCGAAAGCAUUAAGUAUCCCACCUGGGAAGUACGAUCGCAAGAUUGAAACUCAAAGGAAUUGGC
rnacentral:rRNA from 1 species